CCGAGAUCACGGUCAGAUGGGCAUCUUUUGCGAGCCUUGAAUGAUACCGGAACGCGAGGUCUUGAGGUGGGCUGGCUUUCAUUGAACGGCAAAAGUUGCUCUCGGAGGCGACCCACAAAGCUUAUUUCCUUACUGGAAGAACCCUCGACCUGGAGGAUUUGGCUCUUGUCAUUCAACCUCUUCACAAACUGAAACAGGUCUUGCACUUGAGGACGAGUCCAUCAUCAAGUCCAAGGUCGAAUGCUGAAGCUUGUGCAUGGUUUUGUGAAAUAGCGAAACAUUGUUGUCGGCACUUCAUCAAUCUCUUCACCAAAAAAACAUGGUAAAUUGCUCCUUUUAUGGGAUAAUUCUUCUACUCUUAUUUCCUUUAUUUAUUUUAUUUUUUUUUGUUUCUUAUUCGUAUUCUUUUGAUAUGCGAUGGAUCCUGUUUCUGCCAUGCAGUUUCAUGAGAAAGCUCUGUCGUCUAGUUUUGUUGCCAUUGGGCUUUGAAGUUUUGAGACGAUUGUGUUGAAUCUGUCGUCGUAGGUGAAAUUCAAUCGUAGUUGCAUGUACAAGUGUUGUUUGUGAUGUAUUUUAGAAUUAUUGAUAUGCAGGAAGGUUUUCUUUGUUCUGUUUGGAAAAAGAUUGUUCAGUUUAAUUUGUAGAUUGUUUAAAAAAAAUAAAAUAAAAUAAAAUAAUACAUAUGUCUAAUGA